rnacentral:snRNA from 2 species
GUGCUUGUGUCACCAACACAUAUAACAAAAUUGUAGUGUUAUAGACUAGCAUAGUCCCUGUGCAAGGAUGUCACAGAUUCAUCAAAUAUUCCUUGUUUGC